rnacentral:rRNA from 1 species
UACGAAGGGGGCUAGCGUUGUUCGGAAUCACUGGGCGUAAAGCGCACGCAGGCGGAUCGUUAAGUCAGGGGUGAAAUGCCGAGGCUCAACCUCGGAACUGCCUUCGAUACUGCGGGUCUCGAGUCCGGGAGAGGUGAGUGGAAUUCCUAGUGUAGAGGUGAAAUUCGUAGAUAUUCGCAAGAACACCAGUGGCGAAGGCGGCUCACUGGCCCGAUACUGACGCUGAGGCACGAAAGCGUGGGGAGCAAACAGG